rnacentral:sRNA from 1 species
UCGUAAUGGGUUGUCGUAUAGGAGGAGUACGCCUUGUUGGAGGAGACUCCGGUGCAAAUCCGGGCGCCCAUUACUCCAACCGCCCACAUGGGCGGUUUUUUUAUU